rnacentral:rRNA from 1 species
GCUCAUUAAAUCAGUUAUGAUCUACGUGACAAAUUCUUUACUACUUGGAUAACCGUGGUAAUUCUAGAGCUAAUACAUGCAAAAAAGCCCUGACUCACGAAGGGGUGCACUUAUUAGAUAAAACCAACGCGGGGUAAAACCUGUUUCUUGGUGAAUCAUAAUAAUUAAGCGGAUCGCAUGGCCUUGAGCCGGCGACGGUCCACUCGAUUUUCUGCCCUAUCAUGGUUGAGAUUGUAAGAUAGAGGCUUACAAUGCCUAUAACGGGUAACGGGGAAUUAGGGUUCGAUUCCGGAGAGGGAGCCUGAGAAACGGCUACCACAUCCAAGGAAGGCAGCAGGCGCGCAAAUUACCCAAUCCCGACACGGGGAGGUAGUGACAAUACAUAACAAUGCAGGGCCUUUAAGGUCUUGCAAUUGGAAUGAGUACAAUUUAAAUCCCUUAACGAGGAUCAAUUGGAGGGCAAGUCUGGUGCCAGCAGCCGCGGUAAUUCCAGCUCCAAUAGCGUAUAUUAAAGUUGUUGCAGUUAAAACGUCCGUAGUCAAACUUUAGUCUUACCGGUGCGGUGGCCUGGUCUUCAUUGACCAAGCUCACUGUCGCUGGAGACUCCACGUCCGCUUUCUUCUAGUCUUCGGGCUAGGAUUUUGUGGACAAUUACCAUGAGCAAAUCAGAGUGUUUAAAGCAGGCUUUUAAGCUUGAAUGUGUUAGCAUGGAAUAAUGAAAUAUGACUUUAGUCCUAUUUUCGUUGGUUUAGGUACUAUAGUAAUGAUUAAUAGAAACGGUUGGGGGCAUUUGUAUUUGGCCGCUAGAGGUGAAAUUCUUGGAUUGGCCGAAGACAAACUACUGCGAAAGCAUUUGACCCAGGACGUUUUCAUUGAUCAAGGUCUAAAGUUAAGGGAUCGAAGACGAUUAGAUACCGUCGUAGUCUUAACCACAAACUAUGCCGACUAGAGAUUGGGCGUGUUUCUUAUGACUCGCUCAGCAUCUUAGCGAAAGUAAAGUUUUUGGGUUCUGGGGGGAGUAUGGGACGCAAGGCUGAAACU